rnacentral:misc_RNA from 1 species
ACGAGUUGCAAAACUCCCUAAACCAUUGUGAACCUACCUAUCGUUCCUUCGGCGGGCGGCCCACGCCCUAACCUGCCCCUCCUCACGGGGGAGCGGACCCGCCGGAGGCCCCCAAACCCUUUGUUUUAGUUGGCAUCUCUGAGUACACUUUUAAAUAAGUCA